rnacentral:lncRNA from 12 species
UACCAAGCAUGUACCAUGUGCCAGGCACUGUACUGAGUACUUUCCAUGUAUCAGCCCAUUGAAUAGAACCACAAUCCAAGAGAUUGCCAUCGUUACCUUCUCAUUUUACAGGUGAGGAAACUGAGGCACACUUUUCUGUGUGGGAUUUGAACCUAUACAGACUCUUAAGCUCACACACUAUUGCUUCUUCCUCACCAGGUAUUGAGGUGACACUUUUCCCCUGGGAAGUGAAGGGCAGUUCCAUACUGGGGGAAAGGCUUCUACGUAUCCCCAGUGCACUGGGAGAGCCUCUAUCCCAUGCUUGCUGCUUAGUGGGCACUCAAGAGCAGCUCUGGAGCAAGUGAACGUCGCUUGAAGGUAUUUCUGAAACAUGACGGACCUGCUCAGUGUACACAGGAUCGGAAUCAUGACUUGUGCCGUACAACCGGUAGAGCUGCCACAGUAUAAAAAUGGCCAAAUUUUUAUCAGGUAGAAAAUAGAUAAGUAUUGCCAGUGCUACAUCCAAAUAUUAUACACCAGUCCU